ACUGCCUUAUCCUAAAAGUGAAGGUGUUGCCUCUUUAAGGCAGCCUGGUGGUCAAGUCAUUUGUUUACUUUUCAGCGUGCAUCGUUAGUCAACCAGCUGUGAUGUUUUCACGUUCUAAGCCUUAAAAUGGAACCUUACACAAGGAUUUUCAUGGUGACUUUUAAGUUUUCAGGAGAUAAACUUCUAAUCUCAUCUAAGUGGAUGGUCAGCAUUGAGGGGAAAGUGACACAUUGCAUUGAAGAGAAGCUGGAUUUUCACUCUCUGCACUUUUUGGUUGCUUUUAUUUUUUUAAUAUUGAGUACCAGAAGUCAGCCAGUGCAACACUUGAGCUUAUUCAAAGUUAAAAGAAAGGUUCAAAAUGUGAAUCCACGUGUCCAUACAUUUUUGCAGAGCCUUACCGAAUCUGAAUGGAAAACAU